UAUACACUCCCUCCGUCCCAAAUUUUUUGUCUUAGAUUUGUCUAAAUACUGAUGUAUCUAGUUACAUUUGAGUGUUUUAGAUACAUCUGUAUCUAGACAAAUCUAAGACAAGAAUUUUGGGACGGAGGGAGUACAUC
rfam:Triticum aestivum genome assembly, contig: Triticum_aestivum_CS42_TGACv1_scaffold_592600_7BS